rnacentral:rRNA from 1 species
AACGAACGCUGGCGGCAUGCCUAACACAUGCAAGUCGAACGAGACCUUCGGGUCUAGUGGCGCACGGGUGCGUAACGCGUGGGAACCUGCCCUUAGGUUCGGAAUAACUCCCCGAAAGGGGUGCUAAUACCGGAUAAUGUCUUCGGACCAAAGAUUUAUCGCCUUUGGAUGGGCCCGCGUUGGUUUAGCCAGUUGGUAGGGUAAAAGCCUACCAAGGCGACGAUCCAUAGCUGGUCUGAGAGGAUGAUCAGCCACACUGGGACUGAGACACGGCCCAGACUCCUACGGGAGGCAGCAGUGGGGAAUAUUGGACAAUGGGCGAAAGCCUGAUCCAGCAAUGCCGCGUGAGUGAUGAAGGCCUUAGGGUUGUAAAGCUCUUUUACCCGGGAUGAUAAUGACAGUACCGGGAGAAUAAGCUCCGGCUAACUCCGUG